GAUGAACGCUGGCGGCGUGCCUAAUACAUGCAAGUCGAGCGAACAGACGAGGAGCUUGCUCCUCUGACGUUAGCGGCGGACGGGUGAGUAACACGUGGAUCACCUACCUAUAAGACUGGGAUAACUUCGGGAAACCGGAGCUAAUACCGGAUAAUAUAUUGAACCGCAUGGUUCAAUAGUGAAAGACGGUUUUGCUGUCACUUAUAGAUGGAUACGCGCCGCAUUAGCUAGUUGGUAAGGUAACGGCUUACCAAGGCAACGAUGCGUAGCCGACCUGAGAGGGUGAUCGGCCACACUGGAACGGAGACACGGUCAAGACUCCUACGGGAGGCAGCAGUAGGGAAUGUUCCGCAAUGGGCGAAAGCAUGACGGAGCAACGCCGCGUGAGUGAUGAAGGUCUUCGGAUCGUAAAACUCUGUUAUUAGGGAAGAACAAAUGUGUAAGUAACUAUGCACGUAUUGACGGUACCGAAUCAGAAAGCCACGGCUAACUACGUG
rnacentral:rRNA from 1 species